GUUUCCAUUACAAAUAAACUUUAUAAGAUUGUUAGUUUUUGCAGUGUAAAAUAAGGUGAUUGGUGUGGUCAAGAAGAUAAAUGUCUUUGAAUCUGUUGGCUUUUAACAGAAUGAAGAUGUCAAUGUGAGGCGAAAUUGUGUGAUGAGCUGUCUGAGCAUCUACUUCAAUGAAGACCUGGACACACUUGUUAAAGAAUAUGUGGUAUGUAUCAGAAUAGUGUGCCAGUAAUUUUUCCAUCUAGAUAAUAUGGAUUGGUUAUUAGAAUGGAAUGGACAUUAGGACACACUGACCACCAGUAUUUCAACAUUGAGUCCAUUGGGUUGUUUGAAUAAAAAAAAUCAUGCAAGGUAAAUGGUGGUAGAGCUGUCACUCUGAGGGAAUUAAAUCCGCUUGGUCCAGAGGAACCUGAAGAUGAAGUUGUCUGGGUUCUGGCACCCACAUGCCCCUUCUCCGCCAGAAACAACAAUCCUCGCUUAAACAACAAGGUGAUGACACAGACAUUUCCUAGUGCUCAUGAAACUGAAAUGAUUUUACUGCAUUGAUAUGAUUUUGGAAAUGUUUAUUAAGAAGUGCCUUGUAUCAUCAGGAUGCAUGUUCUGGACUGUCUGCUUACGAACUCAAGCACCUUGAGAAUAUCACGCACAAGGAAGCCUUCUUGUCGUCUCUGAAGAUAUGGCAAGUUAAUGGCUUCAUUGGAAGAAAAAUCUCUGCAGUCUCCCCGGAAAUCCCUCCGUUCUAAAAUAGAAAACCUCACCCCAAGUGAAGGGUUGACCCAUAAUCAAGACAUUGAAUCCAGAGAGGCAGAGGAAGACAUGGCAGGAAAGACCAUGGGCAUCUACAAAGUACAAUCAGAGGAUCAUGGUCAAGGUGAUGGACGCUUCACUGAUGUCCGUGUUGUGCUGGAAGGUGUGGAGGUUCUCCACAACCUGCAGAGUGUCACUCAUGCAUGGGUUAUGUUAUAUGGCCUGAUCUACGCGCUCAAUUUGAACUACCCUAAAAGCCUGAAGUGUACAUUUGAGGUGUACCAGAAAAUCCUGAUGGACCUGGACUCAACCAAGCUUUCCCCGAAAGUACAGACACUGAAACUGAAAUUGCUCCAGUGAUUUGGCUAAAAAUAAUAACUUAUACAGCCCCUACCCAUUUUUUUUCACAUAGUGCUCCAACCCAGAGAUAUGUUAAAAUGAUUUCCUAGUUCUAUAAUGAUAUGUUAAUUAGCAACUGAAAAUGGAUCUCUGAGAACAGUUUUAUUUUUUAUUUAUUUAUUUUUUUGGGUGUCCAAGCAGUCAUGUGAUGUUCGAGUGUGGCUGUGUAAGUGGGUUCAUAUGGAUGGUUUCCUAAAUGUUGGCUGAUGUUAACUUGGCUCAAUCCAGAGUUUUGUAUAAAAGAUAAAUAUAAAUAAAUCUGGAAUUUUCCAGUUGGUCUAA